rnacentral:rRNA from 1 species
ACAAGCGGAGGAGUAUGUGGUUAAUUCGAUGCAACGCGAAGAACCUUACCUGGUCUUGACAUCCCGGAGACCCUUAGGAAACUAGGGGUGCUUCCAUCUGGAAGAAUCUGGAGACAGGUGCUGCAUGGCUGUCGUCAGCUCGUGUCGUGAGAUGUUGGGUUAAGUCCCGCAACGAGCGCAACCCUUGCCUUUAGUUGCCAGCAGUUCGGCUGGGCACUCUAAAGGGACUGCCGGUGUUAAACCGGAGGAAGGUGGGGAUGACGUCAAGUCCUCAUGGCCUUUAUGACCAGGGCUACACACGUACUACAAUGGCCGAUACAAAGGGCAGCGACACUGCGAGGUGAAGCCAAUCCCGUAAAAUCGGUCUCAGUCCGGAUUGGAGUCUGCAACUCGACUCCAUGAAGUUGGAAUCGCUAGUAAUCGUGGAUCAGCAUGCCACGGUGAAUACGUUCCCGGGCCUU